rnacentral:rRNA from 1 species
ACAGCCUCCCCUCGUCCUCGUCCUCGCCUCCUUCGACCCGCGCAAGCGCAAGCGCCCAACCACCACCACCACCACCACCACCUCCACCCACCCCUCGCAAAUCCCAGGCCACGCACGUAGCACCACACCACCACUGCCCCCAACAAGCAAGCCAAAACACACACCCGGCACCGAAGCGGAAGCCAAACGGGAAUCCGCCAGUGCGGAGCAGAGGACGCCACGCCACGGCCAUGGCCACGGACGCCGCGCACCAGGAGGCGGUCCAGCAGCCGGACUCGAGGCUCCGGAGCCUCAACCCGGGGCCGAUACCCAUCCCGGCGGCGCCCAGCUCCAGAUCGCUGCUGGAGAAGGUUUCCGAUCAACCAGUAAAUCUGGACCUCACAGCCUCGCAUCAAAGUGAAAAUGACUCCAUCUCUACAGUUAGUUCAGUGGAAUCAGAGAAGGCGGCUUAUGAAUUCCUUGCUCAAACUCCUAUCAAGUCAACUGAUAAACACCUUGUGGAGUUUUCAGAGGCUAUGAGAACUGUUGCAAAAGCACUGCGACAAGUUGCUGAAGGGAAGGCUGCUGCUCAAGCGGAGGCGGCAGAGUGGAAACGGAAAUAUGAGUUAGAGACGGCGCAAAAGCAACAAACCAGAAUCAAAGACUGUGGCACUUGUACCGAUGAUAACCUAGGGAAAAUGGCCAGCCAACUAUCACUUGAGGCACCUGCAUCUGAUCAAACAGGAUGUUGUGGAAACCAUGGGAUAUGUUCACACGAGGUUCUCCAGGACGAAGUUCCUGGACCUAACCCAAGACCUAGUCUCAGUAUGGUGGGAAGAAAGGCAUCAUUUAGACUUUCAUGGGGAUGCAAUGGGAACAAAAACGGCCAGCACAAGCAUGACUUUGUUUCCUUUGAAAAAGGAGACAUUACAACCGCAGAGCGCAGCAGUAAACAGAUCUUGCUGAAGUGGGAAUCCCGGCCACAAACAGUGCUUUUCAUAACCAAACCCAACUCCAACUCUGUUCGUGUUCUCUGUGCUGAAAUGGUCAGAUGGCUUAAAGAGCACAAAAAUAUUAAUGUCUUUGUGGAACCGUGGGUUAGCAAGGAACUUCUGACAGACGAUUCUAACCACACUGUGCAAACAUGGGAUAAUGACGACGACAAAAAGAUGUUGCACAAGAAGGUUGACCUCAUUGUAACUCUUGGCGGUGAUGGAACUGUUCUAUGGGCGGCAUCAUUGUUCAAAGGACCAGUUCCUCCAGUUGUUGCGUUCGCCAUGGGAUCACUGGGUUUCAUGACACCUUUCCCAAGCGAGCAAUACCGUGGUUGCUUGGACAACGUGCUGAAGGGACCUUUCAGCAUAACACUGAGAAACCGUCUCCAGUGUCAUGUAAUCCGUGACGCAGCCAAGGACGAGAUCGUGACCGAGGAGCCAAUCCUGGUGCUAAACGAAGUUACAAUUGACCGCGGAAUAUCAUCCUACCUUACCUACCUGGAAUGCUACUGCGACAGCUCAUUCGUCACAUGCGUACAAGGGGACGGACUCAUCAUAUCAACCACGUCAGGAAGCACAGCGUAUUCGUUAGCGGCCGGAGGGUCCAUGGUUCAUCCGCAGGUCCCCGGCAUCCUGUUCACGCCGAUCUGCCCCCACUCGCUGUCGUUCAGGCCGCUGAUCCUGCCGGAGUACGUGACGCUGCGCAUCCAAGUGCCCUACAACAGCCGGGGCCACGCGUGGGCGUCCUUCGACGGCAAGGACCGGAAGCAGCUGGCCCCCGGCGACGCGCUCAUCUGCAGCAUCUCCCCCUGGCCGGUGCCGACGGCGUGCCUCGUCGACUCCACCACCGACUUCCUCCGCAGCAUCCACGAGGGCCUCCACUGGAACCUCCGGAAGACGCAGACCCUCGACGGCCCGCGCGACUGAUGGGAGUGCUGCUGCGUUGUGUUUGAACUUUGAGGCUUUGAGCUGGGCAAUGGCAAGGCGCCCGUGGAUUUGUUUGGUUCGUGUCUGUUUACUGUUUACCUGUACAAGUUGGCCGGAGGUGGAGUAGUGGUAUGUAUACAGUGAGUGGCCACGGGUUCCUUGGGCUUGAUGCAAUGUAUGACAGGUGACAGCACAAGUGGCAAGCGAUGUGCUCAUGUGGAUGUAGUAGAUAUUCUCAAAAAAAAAAAUGUGGAUGUAGUAGAUGUGGUGGCCAUAUGGAUAAUGGAACUGGCAGCAGCUCAGAAUGUAUGUAGAGAACACACACACGGCAUGUAUAGUCGCACCCCCCAUGAUGUGAAUGAAAUAAUACCUUCGUUGGUAAAAAGCGGCAGUGUUUCUCACUGUUUUUCUCCGUUACAGUUUUUUCUCUUUGCAGUUGUGCAACCAGGCAGUUUUUUUCAACACACCAGGCAGUUGAAGGGCAAGGCAUGUGUAAAGGUAAGCUUCUUAUCUACUGUAUUUUCAUCAGAUUUCUUUUGGUUUAGUUACCAGAGAAGAGUGAUUAGCAACAGCAUGGGCCAAGAGCAUAUGUUCUUUCAAAUCCGGUACAACAAGAAGCUGACAUGA